rnacentral:rRNA from 1 species
CCUACGGGGGGCUGCAGUGGUGGAUAUUGCACAAUGGGGGAAACCCUGAUGCAGCGACGCCGCGUGUGGGAAGACGGUCCUCUGGAUUGUACACCACUUUCCCCAGGGACGAAGAUGACUGUACCUGGGGAGGACGCUCCGGCUAACUACGUGCCAGCAGCCGCGGUAAUACGUAGGGAGCGAGCGUUGUCCGGAAUUACUGGGUGUAAAGGGAGCGUAGGCGGGACUGCAAGUUGGGUGUCAAAUCUACCGGCUCAACCGGUAGCCGCACUCAAAACUGCAGUUCUUGAGGGAAGUAGAGGCAGGCGGAAUUCCUAGUGUAGCGGUGAAAUGCGUAGAUAUUAGGAGGAACACCAGUGGCGAAGGCGGCCUGCUGGGCUUUGACUGACGCUGAGGCUCGAAAGUGUGGGGAGCAAACAGGAUUAGAUACCCGUGUAGUC